GCCGCCGUAGAGAAAUGGUUAGUACACCUUUAGUCCUUCCCUGCCUGUGUUCGAUUCACCUUACUGACAGUCUACAUUUCCAGGUAACUCGUCAGCCUCCUAUACAGGCAAGCUGAAGACUGUGGGUUCGAGUCCCGCCGGCGGUG